AAACAAGAAGAAUACCGUCAGUAGAAAAAGGGAGGACAUGGCAUCAGCUUCGUCAUCAUCGUCACCCCUCCUUGGGAUCAAAGAUGAGGAGCUUCAACAUGAACAGAAACAACAGCAGCAGUCCUCUUCCGCCACGCUGCCUGCAACUCUGAAGAAGAAAAGAAACCAACCAGGAAACCCAAGCAAGUAUCUGAAACAUUCAUCCACAUUUAUGUGCUCCCUCUUUCUAAUUAUAUUAUAUGCUGCUCCUCCAGCUCCACUAAAGGAUGCAUGUCUUAGUCCUGCAUACUAGACUUCUCUUCAGAUCGUGAAAACCCUAUGCUGUAGAAUUGGGAUUCACCAUCUGUGUUCCCAAUCUUCUUUUCGUAUUCCUGUUCAACGCUUGCUAUGCGCAUACAGUUCCCUCUGGUUCUCGUUGGUACGGAUGAAGUUUUCCUCCACUUCAAUCCCAUCUCUUUUCUGUCAUUUCCUUACUUUCUUUUAUUUGAAAAAAAAUUAGGAGAUAGUGAGAAUAAGACGGAGGAGAGAGAGUCCUUACACAAUUACAUUCUUCUCUUCACAUCUAUAAUUUGUUUUCACGUAUUUAAUAUUAUAAACCCUAUCUAUUUAUGCUUUUUAGAUUACACAUUAAACAUUAUGUGCAUAUCGAGGGGUUCAUGCAUCCUUUUGAUGAUAAUCCUAUUUAAUAUAAUUUUAUAUUUUUAUGCAUCUGUUCAUUGUGUCUUUUAUAUAUAAGAUAAUACAUUAAAUUUAUUUUCUAUCUCAUUCCUACUCCAUCCUAUCCAGUUGCUGCAUACUAAUAUUAUAGAUUGAAUAAUGGUAUCCACGACCGAAUCCACAUGUCUGCAGCAGCAGAUCCUGAGGUGGAGGUGAUCGCGCUGUCGCCGGAGACGCUGCUGGCGACGAACCGAUUCGUCUGCGAGGUGUGCAACAAGGGGUUUCAACGGGAGCAGAACCUGCAGCUGCACCGCCGCGGGCACAACCUGCCAUGGAAGCUCCGGCUGAGAAGCGGCGAGGAGGAGGGGAGGCGCCGCCGCCGGGUGUACCUCUGCCCCGAGCCGACGUGCGCUCACCACCAUCCCUCCCGCGCCCUCGGCGACCUUACCGGUGUAAAAAAGCACUUCUGCCGCAAGCACGGCGAGAAGAGGUGGAAGUGCAACAAGUGCUCCAAGCGCUACGCCGUGCGCUCGGACCUUAAGGCGCAUUCCAAGACCUGCGGCAACUGCGAGUACCGCUGCGAGUGCGGCACGCUCUUCUCCAGGUCAGUAGUAGCAGUAGCAGCAUUCUCCAUUGCAUGAUUUCAUCAUUGGAUCAUCGUUAAAACAUAUGGUCAUUGACAACAGUUUCUUUCGUGAUUUAGUGUCCCUCUUUGGGUUUGGUGAUGAUUAGCCUUCUAUUAGGGCUCUUCUCUUACUUUAGGGUCGUUAUGGUUGGAUUCCAAGGGAGAGAAGUGUUGGGAAACGGCUGUAAGGAACUGCUCCCACGUGAAUUGGUCUAUACAAGUGCCAUGGUCAUGGGGGUUUCAGCUCAACAUAACCAAAAAAGCUUCUCAUCUUUUUCAUCUCGUUGGAACCAACGCCACCCUUCCAUCCCUCGUUUAAACUAUGUUUUCUCUCUCUAUAUAUCCUGUUCACGUGGUUGAAGUAACCAUCUUUGCAAGUUUGUUGUCUAGUGGCUUGGCUAAAUGUGAUUGCAGGUCCUGCGGCAGUGGCAGAUCAGCCUUUUCAUGGAAACGUUAGGCUAGAAACUUGGAAGUUCAUCCAAAUACAGAUGUCUGCCUCUCUCCUUUUAUUUCAAUGUGCUACAAAUGAGAUGUAUCCCUCUCUACACUAGAAUGCAAUUAAGUGAUAUGAUGGAUUCUUGUAAAGAAAGCCGAGGGGACAACCGUGGUGGUGCGUGGGAUGGCUUUUCAUGGUUUUGGCAAAUAUUCUCUUUAGGUAUUGGAAUCAUUGAUUGGGGGUUAGUUGAGUUGCAUGCUUCUUGCAAGGAUCCUCAUUGCAUUUAUUGACGACUGGGGGUUUCCUCCUCAAGGGCAGAUGUAGGUUGGAUUUGAUAAUUAUUAUUUCUUUCUUGACUUUUAAUUGACAUCAACUAUGAGAGUAUAAAUAGAUUUUGAAAUCUAAUUACAUAUAUAUAAUUUGAAGUGUAUGUGCAUGCAUGCUCAAGAUAGUAGGUUAGUUCAGAGAACAUACCUGGUGAGUUCUUCCAAUCAAUGCUACUCUUCUUCCAACCCUGAAGCAAGUUCAUGCAGUUUCUCUUCUUGUGAUUUGUACAGGCGUGACAGCUUCAUCACCCAUCGGGCGUUUUGCGACGCCUUGGCGCAGGAGAGCUCGAGACUCCCUGCCGCCGGCCUCGAC
rnacentral:lncRNA from 1 species